rnacentral:rRNA from 1 species
GACGAACGCUGGCGGCGUGCUUAACACAUGCAAGUCGAACGGAAAGGCCCUGCUUUUGUGGGGUGCUCGAGUGGCGAACGGGUGAGUAACACGUGAGUAACCUGCCCUUGACUUUGGGAUAACUUCAGGAAACUGGGGCUAAUACCGGAUAGGAGCUCCUGCUGCAUGGUGGGGGUUGGAAAGUUUCGGCGGUUGGGGAUGGACUCGCGGCUUAUCAGCUUGUUGGUGGGGUAGUGGAUUACCAAGGCUUUGACGGGUAGCCGGCCUGAGAGGGUGACCGGCCACAUUGGGACUGAGAUACGGCCCAGACUCCUACGGGAGGCAGCAGUGGGGAAUAUUGCACAAUGGGAGGAAGCCUGAUGCAGCAACGCCGCGUGCGGGAUGACGGCCUUCGGGUUGUAAACCGCUUUCGCCUGUGACGAAGCGUGAGUGACGGUAAUGGGUAAAGAAGCACCGGCUAACUACGUG